AGUGAUUAUAGUGUUAUCUUAUCACAGUGAUGAUAUAUAUUGAAGAUGAUAUCUAGCAAUGCAUUGCUUUCUAACAAUCAAUAAGCCCUAUUCAAUUACAAAUAGAAUGAAUAUGAUAGGCUGCCGUACUUUCGCAACUGGACUACGCUCCUUCACAUCUGCAGUCGUACUAGUAAUCUUACGUCUCUUUCGUUUCCGUUCCCGAGGGCUAGAAAUCAAAUGCGAUCAACACUAUGCUGUGGAGUGGGUAUGAGAGGGCAAAGCACGCACGAGCAUUCCCAGUGAUUGCGGGAACAGUUGAGGCAUUCUUUACUGUUUUCUGGAUAGAUGCAACGAAUCUGCUCAAGUGGUUGAGGGAGAGGUUAGUGACGGAGGGCGAUCAAUACUAAGUUUCUCUGUUGUUAAACCGUGUAGGUCUGCUUUUGUUUGCACCGUGAAUGAGGGACGUGAACAUGCCUUUUUCAUGUUGCAAGCGAGGCAUGCAGAUGUUGCUCGAAGCUGGACCAGGCUGCGGACCGCUUUGCCCAACACCGCUGGCGGCACAUCUGGUUGGGCACUCAUACCGCAAGAUUGUAGUAUUUCAUCACAUGGAUAUAUGUGUACACACUUGGAGAGGGGGAGAGAAGUGCCAAUAAACUCUUGGAGUGGGCCGAAAAGCGAGGAUAGGGACUGUUUUUGUCUGGGGUAAGGCUGAGAUCCAUUUCCCGAGAUCGGAUAUGCGGGGAUUUUACAGGCUUAAUUGACAUAACCGGUUACGACAAGAGUAAGUUAUGGACUAAAUCUAAAGUGAGGACACCGCAAUUUACAUUAUUUGUUCAAGGUGUAGUUAUGGACCAGUGAAGUGAUUCAUGUGGAAAUAAACAUUGGAUUUGAUUUUAUCAUUAUAAUUCUCAGCAAUCCGAGGCAUUCUUAAGUAGGAUAGGAUUUAGCUGAGCAGUGUCGCCCGGUUUUCAAUGGGUAAAGGCCAUUCUGCUAGCUGGUUUGAGCCAGAAAGCAGUGGGACGAGAACCUAGUACGCCUGGCAAGUCUAUCGCAACUAAAUGCAGACAGAAUAUUGUUGAUAUAAGCACAUCUUCGGCGCAACCAUAGCCAAGGAAAAAAGACUGGGUUGUAAUUUGACAUCCGUGCUAACGCCACUGUACCCCUGAGUGGAUCGUAGGCUAGAAAGGCAGUUGCACAAGUGGAGUGAUGAAACGGGUGAAAUGAAUGGUUAGCUAAUUUAAGAAGGGUUUAUAUGGGGAUUAUACAAACAAGGGUAUUAGGAUGAUAUUUAUAUUUGGAAUAGAAUAGUAUAGGGAGUGCUCGUCUAGCUGAAAUGAGGAAACGGAAAAGAGAAAGAAGAAAAGAUCGUAUUCGUUAUAUCCUACAGUUCCUGAUGAUUUGAGAUACGUGGUGGAGGGCGAAGGUUUCCUUGCUUAAUUUGCUGGAACGCGAGGUCGAAGCGGGCUCCCAUGAGCCAUGCAGCAAAGAUCAUGAUUGCUGUAAGAAUAGCCAGAAUACCGAACAAGGCAAGCAUGAUGUACAUUAUGUCUUGUCGGGCUUCGGCAUCUAGUCGAGCUUGUUCUGCUUCUUGUGCGCUGGGUUCUUGUUUCGCUUUCCGUUGGGCACCCUCAACAGUUUGGGACGGGAAGAUAGAUUCGAUGAAAGUUUCAACCUUCGCACAGGCAAUGCUGAUUUUGAGGAAAUUAGGGUCUUUGGGAGUAUUUUUCUUGUGAAUUUUUCGACCGUAUUGUCGGAAAACAUCACAGAUAGCGCGAACAUUUUGAGUGGACUGGAACAUGAGUUGGCAGGCGGAGCCCUUGGUGAUCUUAAUAUUUCGUUCAAAGAUGGCCUCAUUACGGAAGCAAAGUUCAAGAGUGGCAAUAGCCAUUGACUGAGGGAUGGCACAGAAAUUAAAAACACUCUGCUCUCUCAGGCCAGCGAGAUAGAAGAGACAUUCAUCGGCGUGCCCAAGAGCAUUCAGGAUCAUCUCCGAAUUACAGUUGAGGGCAGCCUCUCUGUUUUCUCGUUUGAACAGGUCUUCGAAGUCAUCCACGUGUUUGGACCAAAUUUCCUGUGGCCAAAAGCACCUGUUGUCCACGUAAUCUUCCUUUACAUCACGGAUGAUAUUUGUCUUUUGAAGGAACAAACCCAUAGAUAUGAAAAGUUCAGUACGUUCCAAGAGAGCCGGGUUAGCAAAGCCAGCCUCCACAAAAAGCCUUGUGAGCCCCUCGCCAACGAUGCCGGCAACGUAAUAACAAUAGAGGUCAUAUUCUUUUACCGUUUUGACCUUCGCAGUAUCCAACUCUGCUUUCCUGCAAUAAUCUGCCAUGCCACUGCCCAUUUUCUUGGUGGUGUCCUUUAUGAUUGUCCGAUAAGCAGGUUUUAUCAGCUUGAAUUCAGUAACAACAUUGUGAAACUGAACUAGCAGUUCGCGAUCUUUCUCCUCAGGUCGGUUGCCAUUGAACGACCAGCCAUCCUUCUCCAGGAUAUUGUGGAAGUCGCGAAGAAGGGGCUCUUUUGUUUGUAAAGGGAUUGAGGUGUCGUCUUCGAUAGUAUCCAGACCGCGUAGGGCCAAAUAGAACAGGCAGACAGGGAGAAGUAGUUCAGGAUGCAGCUCCAUAAUGACGGCGCUGAAGCUUCUGCUGGUGAGUUCUAGGAACUCGAAACAUUUUUUCUGCGUUUCGGACACAUUCUUCUCGUCUCUUUCGUGGACAGGGUUAUGCCACACUUUCCAUUGGAUGAUUGACCUCAGUUCUUGAGGAUGGACGAGAUAAUAUAUUGCAUCUGUGAGGCCGACCAUUGUGGUGGGCGGGUGGUACAAGGGGACAAGAGCGAAGCCAGAAUGAAAAUAACCUAGAUCCAAAGCCGGAGGAUUGGAGCACUGAGGAGGGAAGAUUAUGAAUAACCAGUUGGAGGGAGGGGAAAGGG
rnacentral:sRNA from 2 species